UACGGGGGGGGCAAGCGUUGUUCGGAAUUACUGGGCGUAAAGGGCUCGUAGGCGGCCAACUAAGUCAGACGUGAAAUCCCUCGGCUUAACCGGGGAACUGCGUCUGAUACUGGUUGGCUUGAAUCCGGGAGAGGGAUGUGGAAUUCCAGGUGUAGCGGUGAAAUGCGUAGAUAUCUGGAGGAACACCGGUGGCGAAGGCGGCUCACUGGGGGUCUUCUGACGCUGAGGAACGAAAGCCAGGGGAGCGAACGGG
rnacentral:rRNA from 1 species